rnacentral:rRNA from 1 species
GACGAACCGUGCGAACGUUGUUCGGAUUCACUGGGCUUAAAGGGCGUGUAGGCGGUCGGCCAAGUCUGAUGUGAAAGCCCGAGGCUCAGCCUCGGAAGUGCGUCGGAAACUAGUCGGCUGGAGCGCGAUAGAGGAGGGUGGAAUUCCUGGUGUAGCGGUGAAAUGCGUAGAGAUCCGGAAGAACACCGGUGGCGAAGGCGGUUGGCUGGGCCAUAGCUGACACUGAGGCGCGACAGCGUGGGGAGCAAACAGG